AUAAUUUGCAAUAAAUAAUAAA
rnacentral:snRNA from 1 species